CCUACGGGCGGCAGCAGUGAGGAAUAUUGGUCAAUGGACGCAAGUCUGAACCAGCCAUGCCGCGUGCAGGAAGACGGCUCUAUGAGUUGUAAACUGCUUUUGUACGAGGGUAAACGCAGAUACGCGUAUCUGUCUGAAAGUAUCGUACGAAUAAGGAUCGGCUAACUCCGUGCCAGCAGCCGCGGUAAUACGGAGGAUUCAAGCGUUAUCCGGAUUUAGUGGGUUUAAAGGGUGCGUAGGCGGUCGGAUAAGUUGGAGGUGAAAUCCCGGGGCUCAACUUCGGAAUUGCCUCUGAUACGGUUCGGCUAGAGAGUAGUAGCGGUAGGCGGAAUGUAUGGUGUAGCGGUGAAAUGCUUAGAGAUCAUACAGAACACCGAUUGCGAAGGCAGCUUACCAAGCUACUUCUGACGUUGAGGCACGAAAGCGUGGGGAGCAAACAGGAUUAGAUACCCUUGUAGUC
rnacentral:rRNA from 1 species